rnacentral:rRNA from 1 species
GACGUAGGGCGCAAGCGUUGUCCGGAUUUAUUGGGCGUAAAGAGCUCGUAGGCGGCCUGUCGCGUCGUCCGUGAAAACCUGGGGCUUAACUCUGGGCGUGCGGUCGAUACGGGCAGGCUGGAGGCAGGUAGGGGAGAUCGGAAUUCCUGGUGUAGCGGUGAAAUGCGCAGAUAUCAGGAGGAACACCGGUGGCGAAGGCGGAUCUCUGGGCCUGUACUGACGCUGAGGAGCGAAAGCGUGGGGAGCGAACAGG